UACGUAGGGUGCAAGCGUUAAUCGGAAUUACUGGGCGUAAAGCGUGCGCAGGCGGUGAUGUAAGACAGAUGUGAAAUCCCCGGGCUCAACCUGGGAACUGCAUUUGUGACUGCAAGGCUGGAGUGCGGCAGAGGGGGAUGGAAUUCCGCGUGUAGCAGUGAAAUGCGUAGAUAUGCGGAGGAACACCGAUGGCGAAGGCAAUCCCCUGGGCCUGCACUGACGCUCAUGCACGAAAGCGUGGGGAGCAAACAGG
rnacentral:rRNA from 1 species